UCACACUUUUGGUAGUAGAAU
rnacentral:piRNA from 1 species